rnacentral:rRNA from 1 species
GACGAACGCUGGCGGCGUGCUUAACACAUGCAAGUCGAACGGAAAGGCCCUGCUUUUGUGGGGUGCUCGAGUGGCGAACGGGUGAGUAACACGUGAGUAACCUGCCCUUGACUUUGGGAUAACUUCAGGAAACUGGGGCUAAUACCGGAUAGGAGCUCCUGCUGCAUGGUGGGGGUUGGAAAGUUUCGGCGGUUGGGGAUGGACUCGCGGCUUAUCAGCUUGUUGGUGGGGUAGUGGCUUACCAAGGCUUUGACGGGUAGCCGGCCUGAGAGGGUGACCGGCCACAUUGGGACUGAGAUACGGCCCAGACUCCUACGGGAGGGAGCAGGGGGGAAUAUUGCACAAUGGGCGGAAGCCUGAUGCAGCAACGCCGGGUGCGGGAUGACGGCCUUCGGGUUGGAAACCGCUUUCGGCUGUGACGAAGCGUGAGUGACGGUAAUGGGUAAAGAAGCACCGGCUAACUACGUG